AAUCCAUGGCUGCCCGAUUUGGCCGGCGACCCCCGGAUCCAGGCGAGGGCACCACCACCACCAAGCGCGUGGAGGGGAGUGGAGGGGAAGCGGAGGAUCUCACCGGGUCUCUUCCCCACCUCCGUGGUCUGCCUGCCCGUCCCGCCGUCAGCCACCGCAUCACCGCACCGACCAGAUCCAUGGCGUUAGUCGCGCCGUGCUUUGUGGUGCUACUCCGUCAGAGUUAGGAUAGGGGGUAGGAGCAGCUCCAUCGAGCUUCUGCUGGCGACGGCGAGAUACUUCAGUUGCCAUCCACCAGGAGGAGAGGGGAGAAACUCCCAGCAGCCUUCCAGUUUCUGACAUGUACGAGUGCAGUGCGCUAGUCGCGUUGGUGCAGCCCGCUGGCAUCCAGCAGGGGAUGCAGCU